rnacentral:lncRNA from 1 species
GUGUUUAUUUGAUGUGUGGAUUGAUCUUCCUUGUUGUUUUAUGUGUUUCUGGUGUUUGUGUGGCUUUGUGUGGUUGUUCCUUUGUUGUGUCGUCAUGGGAGAUGAUGUGGUGGUGAUUUUAGGGUUCUUUGGUGGAUGAGAUCGUCAUUGGAUGUGUCCCAGGGUGUGGGUGUCGACCAACACCUGGACGGUAUUGAUCGACACCUGGACGGUAUUGAUCGACACCAUACGGUUGUUCGCAGUGCAGUUUUGUGAUGAUGUCGGGUGGUGGUGUUGACCGACACAAGUUGUGGUUGAUGGUGUCGACCGACAGCAGAUAUUGGUGUCGACCG